rnacentral:rRNA from 1 species
GACGAACGCUGGCGGCGUGCUUAACACAUGCAAGUCGAACGAUGAUGCCAGCUUGCUGGUGGAUUAGUGGCGAACGGGUGAGUAACACGUGAGCAACCUGCCCCUGACUUCGGGAUAACCGCGGGAAACCGUGGCUAAUACCGGAUAUUACGCGCUAUCGCAUGGUGGUGUGUGGAAAGAUUUAUCGGUUGGGGAUGGGCUCGCGGCCUAUCAGCUUGUUGGUGGGGUGAUGGCCUACCAAGGCGACGACGGGUAGCCGGCCUGAGAGGGUGACCGGCCACACUGGGACUGAGACACGGCCCAGACUCCUACGGGAGGCAGCAGUGGGGAAUAUUGCACAAUGGGCGCAAGCCUGAUGCAGCGACGCCGCGUGAGGGAUGACGGCCUUCGGGUUGUAAACCUCUUUCAGUAGGGAAGAAGGCCUUCGGGUUGACGGUACCUGCAGAAGAAGCGCCGGCUAACUACGUG